rnacentral:misc_RNA from 1 species
GAUGAAGAACGUAGCGAAAUGCGAUAAGUAAUGUGAAUUGCAGAAUUCAGUGAAUCAUCGAAUCUUUGAACGCACCUUGCGCUCCUUGGUAUUCCGAGGAGCAUGCCUGUUUGAGUGUCAUGAAAUUCUCAACCUUUCUGGCUUUUGCUAGUCAGGCUUGGAUUAUGGGAGCUGCUGGCUUUUGAAGUCGGCUCUUCUAAAAUGUAUUAGCAAGAUCAUUGCUGCUCAUCAUUGGUAUGAUAAUUAUCUAUAUCAUUGAGAGUCAGUUUCCUUUAUUGGAAGAUUUUGCUCCUAACGGUCUUUAGCAAGACAACAUUUGACGAUUUUGACCUCAAAUCAGGUAGGACUACCCGCUGAACUUAAGCAUAUCAACGGAGGA